rnacentral:lncRNA from 1 species
CAACAUCUUUUCAGUUGAUCAAGCACCACCCCUUUAUUGGUACUUCUCUGAUCCAAGAAACCAAUGAUCUUGAUUACCAUCCACCUAAAAGUUUGAACUAUUAAGAAGCCAAGGAAAGAAUUUUGUAGUGUAAAAGCUUACCUGUCUUUUGCAUCAUCAAUGUAAUAGUAUAUAUACUGUAUUCUACACGAAAGAAUUUUUAUUUCUGAACUAGAUGAAGUUUCUUGAGGAAAUUUAUGGUAUAAAUUUGGCGGAAAUGUCAAGUAUCUCCUACUAAUUAACAAUCAUGUCGGAUAUUAACUCGUAAUAUUUUCGUACAAGCAAGAGCGUCAGUGUUUAGCAGUGACACUGGAUAAGGAGGUAGAUGAAUUCAUGUCCUUGAACAAUCAUUGAUUACCAAUUGAUCACUCUACGUGAAACCAUGCACCUGUAGUAUGUGAGUUUGACAUCAACCUUGUAAUGCACAUUGAUAAAGAAAAAGGCAAGACGAGGUAGCAUAGCAUCAAAUCAUCAACACAGGAGCCAGAGCAGUUUUACCUGUAAACCUCAAAAGAUUCAUGAAGGAAGAGAGUUCGAGUCCCACCUACCCCUCCAUCCAGCUCCCCUUUCACCAUGAUGUUAACUUCAGUGAAGUUUUGCGCUAUGGUAUAUCUGCCAGGGCAAGGGGAGCAUCGAUUUGGAGCAGGCGACGAUCGAGAUUUUGGGUACAGUAGUUGUACUUUUUUAUAAGAAAA